GAUGAACGCUGGCGGCGUGCCUAAUACAUGCCAGUCGAGCGAAUGAAGGAAGAGUUCGCCUGGAUUAAGCUAGCGGCGGAUGGGUGAGUAAUAGGAGGAUACCUUACAUAUAAGAAUGACAUCACUUCGGGAAAGCGGAGACCGCAUACGUUCAUAGUUAGAACGGGAUGGAUCAUCAGAGAUCGCGCGAUCUGAUGUGACUAGGUCGUAUUAGCUAGUUGGUGGGGUAACGGCUUACCAAGGCGACGAUCCGUAACUGGCCUGAGAGGAUGAUCAGACACACUGGAACUGAGACACGGUCCAGACUCCUACGGGAGGCAGCAGUGGGGAAUCUUCGACAAUGGGCGAAAGCCUGAUGCAGCAACGCCGCGUGAGUGAUGAAGGUCUUCGGAUCGUAAAGCACUUUAAGUUGGGAGGAAGGGAAGUAUGUUAAUAUAUUCAUGUUUUGACGGUACCUACAGAGUAAGCCACGGCUAACUACGUG
rnacentral:rRNA from 1 species